rfam:Gossypium hirsutum cultivar TM-1 chromosome 9, whole genome shotgun sequence
AAUAGUUUUAUGCCACAUCAGUAUUUUUAUCCUGAAUUUCAGGAUUUUAUUAUGAAAAAAAUCAAAUCCAAAUUAAAAUACCGAAAUUCAAGAUAAGAAUACUGAUGUGGCAUAAAACUAUU